UCUCGUAGGGUUUCUUGAGCGGAGGGCAUCGCACUGCCGCCGGCCAUCUCUCCUCUGCUCCCUCCCGCCGCCGUGCAUCUCGCCAUAUCGCUCAUCCGCUCGCCAGUCCCGCCUCUCCUUUACCGCGACGCCGGAAGCCAUCGCCCUCACCCCGACCACGAAGCCAGCGUCCAAUCCACUCGCUCCGACCUCGACAACGCCGCCGGACCCCGUCGCUCGACCCCGUCGCCUCUACCUUGAAUGAGUCAUCGGAAACAGCCGCUCGACCCUUACCCCGUGCAAUAACGCCGUGCUCCCAUCCCUAUUGACCCUGACACCGCUGCUUCACCCCUACCCCGACCUCGCACCAGACGUGGUCGCUCUACCUCGUAGCAGCUCUUGUCAAGAUGGUUGCUUACUGAGAUGGUCGGUUGUGGGAAGGCAGUCGACUCCAGCGCGGUCAAGGAGGGGACGUCGAGCAGGGUUUUGAAUUUCGGCCGAAAAAAAUGGAUUUCGGCCGAAUUUCGGCCAUCUCGGCCUAGGGCGAAAUCUAUCUUCCGCCGAAAUUGGUCAAAUUUGAGAAAUUUUGGUCAAAUUUUAAUCAAAUUUCAGUCAAAAUUUGGUCAAAUUUGGGCCGAAAUUUUUAAAAAUGACCGAAAUUCGGCCAUCUCGGCCUAGGGCGAGAAAAAUCACAAACCGAAAAUCAAAACGCUGACGUCGAGCAGCACCAGGGUCAGGCUGUAGUUCCCCGUUGGCAGGAUUGCUAGAUUCCUCAAGACUGGCAAGUACACCAAGCGUAUUGGCGCCGGCGUCCCCAUCUACCUCACCACCGUCCACGAGCGCCUCGCCGCUGAGGGGUCCUGGAGCUGGCCGGCAAUGCUGCCAGGGACAACAAAAAGAGUUGUAUUGUGCCCCGCCACAUUCAGCUCGCCGUGUGCAAUGAUGAGGAGCUAACCAAGCUGCUCGAUGGUGCCACCUGUAGUUGCGCCGCUCGCCACUACCAUCUCUGGCAUGGAUAACUUCCAGAGCCUCACCAUCCUCAUGAAUAUCCAGUCCAUGUUAAUUCUCAUUGGUCACAACUAAACUUCGCCUUCUCAUGAUACCAUCUUUGCUUUGUUUGAUAAUAAGACAUGACAUAGGGGGGCAGGCAACAUUGAUCCGAAGAAUCAUGUCACCCAUCUUGUUCUCAGGUGCUACACCUACAAUACUGAAAAGAGGAUAUACAUGAGAAUGACACUUCACAGUUGAUUUGAUAACAUCAUAUACAUGUAUUGGUAUAUUCUCGUCACAAUGUUAGUAGUUGGCUAUAAAUAACUGGUUUUGAUUCAUCCAUCUAACUCGGCAUGAUGGUUAUCUGCUCAGUCUCCCUGAAUUUAGCAUAAAUCAAUCUCCAACUAUUAAUAAAUGGCUUCAAUUCAUCCAUCUAGCUUGGCAUGAUGGUUAUCUGCUUAGUCUUUCUGAAUUUAGCAUGAUCAAUCGCCAACUAUAAAUAACUGGUUUCGAUUCAUCCAUCUAGCUCGGCAUGACGGUUAUCUGCUAAUUCUCUCUGGAAUUAGCAUUAUCAAUCUUCAAUUUAUGAGUAUUUUAACCCAAUUUGUUCUCUAAAUAUUUCACCAGCUAUCUCAUGUUGGUUGUAAGGAUCACAAGACAGACAGGAGCUUGGAGCAAGUCCAUCCAUGUCGGCUCCUUUUCAUUUAUUUAUUUUGUGAAUUCCUUUUCAUUUAUUCAUGAGCAUACUUUUAUUACUGUUCUUGCAUAAUAGGAGUCAUGAGGAUUGCUCCUCCAUAAGCAGCGGCAUACUCCUAGAUGACAACUUGCCUAAAUGAGCUGAUAGAGGUGAUGGGGAAAGGCUAAUGACGGUUUCUUGGAAAUAUAUAGACCAUGUAUAGUUUAUGUAGAUCGAUAUGAUUUAUUAUUGGGACAGAUAGCGUACGCAUAUUAGCCUAUGAGAUUGUUGCUGUAGAUUCCAGUGUUUGCAUUUUCCGCCUUGAUUUCAUUUCAUACGGCUUUAGUAAGACCAUCACAUGGGUUGUUUGCAUUUGACACCUUGAUUUCCUUUGUACGGUUUUAAUUAGACCAUAACAUGGGUUAAUUGGUCAGGAGGGGGCCAACAUCCAGCAAGAUAUGGUGCUGCAAAAUGAAUGUGGGGUUUGUCUAGCUAAUCAGGUCGGUGUGGUGCAGUACCCUCUACUGUUCGUAUCUUCUUUUUUGUUGCAAUUCUGAUGUCCUGAUUCUGUUGCUUAGUUGUAAUAUAUUUCCAUUCACUUGGUCUCCAGAUAUCCAGAAACAUGUGAGGAAACAUGUUGCUUGAAUGGUCAACUCCAUCGCUGGCUAUCUUUUAGACUUCCUACACUUGUUGCGUUAUCUUCAGUGAAAAAUUGUUAUAUGCUAGGAAACAAGCUUCAAAUAUGAUUAAGAACACACCUAAAUACAUUCUUAGUCCAAUAGUUAAUUAGAAUGGCACCACCUAGCUUGCUAUUUUUGACCUCCGAGCCAUCCAUUAGUCAUAUGUCGCUGUCCCAAUGCACUGGCUUCUUAGUACUGUAUUUUGCCUAUUAUCCUAUCAAUUGUUUCGGAAAAUGUCUCUAGACGUGUGGUUCAUCUGCUGCAUGAGACAAUCUUUCCUUAUUUAUUUGAUCCUUAUAAGUCACAUCAAAGAUGUAUUCUAACAAAUCCAUCUUAAUCAGUAAUAUGUCUAUCUGGCUCUAGCUUCCUGUCUAUGUCAGAUUUGACUUUAAUAUCAUCAAUGAUCCAAAACCCUUAGUUGAUUCAUCCAUGUUAGAUAAUAUUUAUUUAGUAUGAAAUUUUUCUGCAAGUAAGCGUAUUUACGUAGUACAAGUAUGUGCAAUCAGUUUCAUGACAUUUUUAAUACUCGCUUCACCUGUCAAGAGGGGGGGUGUCUAUCUAUCUUCACUGACAGUCCAUGGUCCUCGAGUGUUUCUACUAAAAUUCCUUCCGAAGAAGCUUCUUUGUAGUAUGUAGCUUUUCUUUUAUGAUUGUGCAUGUGCAGAUAAUAUCUUUUACAACAAUGUGCGCUAGAUGAUGAUUAUGAGCAUUUUCAGUACAAGGUAUACUGUUGUGCGGAAGGUUGUACUCGUAGCAACAUGAUGAUCUUUUUUCCCACCCCAAGUAUUUGAUGAUUGGUUCAUCUUCUUGCCCAUCAGUGUCGAAUAGAGUGGUGGAUUCUUGUUUCUAUUGAGCUGUUGCAUGCAUUGUUACCUCAACUGUUACCAAGCUAAUGGAGGAAUUUCCUGGAAUCCGUUGGCACCUGUGCUUACACAUAUUGUGAAGUUGAAGAAGGCAGAGAUAGUAUCAACUUCAGACCAUCCCUUUUCAACCUCAAAUCGGUGGAUCACUUUUUAGAAGGUGCUCCGGCUUGGCAUUGAGGAGUCCAAGCGCCCCACGAGAGCGGCUUCCUAGCAAAAGCAGCCCGACUCAGCCAAGGAGCAGGCUUGCGUUGCCCAACAUCUGGUUGGAUCAUCUCCUCCUCCUCCUUGUCUGGUAGUGGCAUGCCGAGAGAUGACGACAAUGACUCCCCUCCGGUGGUGGACACCUACGUGGAGGAGCACAACCGGCACUCCAGUGACCCCAAGAAGAAGGGACCUGUGAGGAAAUGGUGAAGUCUGGCGCCCUCCCCCUCCGUUUAUCUAUCGUUUGUAUCUAGGUGUGGUGAUGAACCUGUACAUUUUUUGUUCGAUUG